CCAGACGGUUCGUGGAGAUUUGACUUGGUGUUUCUUAAGGAUGUUUAGUUUUUCCAAGGCGCUAGUCCCUUUCUUUCUCCCACUCAGCUUUGGGCUUGGAUAUGCAGUGACCACAGGAGUGAAGAAAGCGUUUGACAGCUACUUUCCUGAAAAGAAUUUGGAUAAAAGCAGCUCUGAGAAUGAAUUUUCAUCUGUUCCCAAAUAACAAACUGAUCCCGGCUGCGGAGGUUUGCUUCAAACGAGCGACGGAUGUCUGCAGAACCACAGACUUUGACUCAGCUGAGACUUUACAAGACAGUACCAAGUGCGAGCAUACCGUCUGAACAAACUGACCCAGCUGGGAAAGUUUGUCCUUUUGAUGAAACAAGCUACAGACUUGACGCAACAGGACAACUAGACGAGGAUCCAACAAAGAACAAGGAACACAGGUUUUCUCCAACAUUGUUCUGUAUUUGGCUCCAAUCAUCUUCCAUCAACUCUGACCAUCUUCCUUGUCCCUGUUGAAGAGAGGCACCCCCAGAGAAUGACCGUCAUAUUCGACAGCAGGGAUGGUGUGUUCAGAGUGAAGUGCGUUUUGCAGUUUGGCCAAAACGUUMAGAUUUGGUCUGGUUAGACCAAAUCUCCUUCCACAUGUUUGCAGUUAGCCAGAAGCCAUGUUGGACUUCUUCUGGUUUUCUUUUAACAGUGGCUGUCUUCUGCUCCACCCUUUACAAACCCGGGGGCCAUGAAAGUCAUCAUCAACAUCUUUUCCUCAUGUGAAAGGGCUCUCAAGCUAUAGGAUCCAGGGGUUAUGAUUCUAAUCCUGAUUCUUUUUCUUCCUYUUCCUUUGUUAUUCUUGUUUUUUAUUUUGUGUGCAUUCUUGUUCGUUUGCUUCUGUAAGGCAGUGUUUCCCAACCCUGGUCCUCCAGGCACACCGCCCCGCAGGUWUUAUACGUCUCCCUGCUUUACCACGUCUGAUUCAGCUGACUGCAGUUCAGUUAAACAAACACCAGUCAGUUGARAUCAUAUGGGCUGAAGAGAGGAAACACCUGAAACAUGCAGGGCAGUGAGCCUUMAGGACCAGGGCGGGGAAAC